GGCAGAAAUUGGGCAUAAGACAAUAUGAGAGGUGGUCUCCUCCCUUACUUUGACCAACAUCUCCCCAACCCAUACCCCUAAGCCCCUGGUAACUACCAUUCUGUCUCUCCUUCUAUGAAUCCAACUUUUUAAAUUAUACAUACAAGGGAGAUCAUCUGGUAUUUGUUUUCCCAUACCUGGCUUAUUUCACUUAACAUAUUGUCCUCCACAUCCAUCCAUGAUGUUGCAAAUGACAAUGUUUCCUUUUAAAACAUACACCACUUUUGAAUGUGUUUUAUUCAGUCUACAAAGUCACCUAUGAGACAUUCAGUGGGGUCACAGAAGGAAAGUGCUUUGCAAGCCAGGCGAGGUGCCUCAUAUUUUUAAUCCCAGCACUUUGGGAAGCCGAGGUGGGUGGAUCACCUGAGGUUGGGAGUUCAAGAGCAGCCUGGCCAACAUGGUGAAACUCCAUCUCUACUAAAAAUACAAAUAUUAGCUGGGCAUGGUGGUGCACACCUGUAAUCCCAGCUACUUGGGAGGCUGAGUAGCUGGGAUUACAGGCGCACGCCCCCACGCCUGACUAAUUUUUUUUUUUUUUGUAUUUUUAGUAGAGACAGGGUU
ensembl:lncRNA novel transcript